rnacentral:rRNA from 1 species
CAACCCUACGGGACGCAGCAGUGGGGAAUAUUGCGCAAUGGGCGAAAGUCUGACGCAGCGACGCCGCGUGAGGGAUGAAGGUCUUCGGAUCGUAAACCUCUGUCAGCAGGGAAGAACGGUCACUGUGCUAGUCAGCAGUGAAUUGACGGUACCUGCAAAGGAAGCACCGGCUAACUCCGUGCCAGCAGCCGCGGUAAUACGGAGGGUGCGAGCGUUAAUCGGAAUUACUGGGCGUAAAGCGCUCGUAGGCGGUAUGUGAAGUCAAGGGGGAAAUCCCCGCGCUCAAAGUGGGAACUG